CUCAGCUCUGGAUGUAAAGUGUGAGAGGGAUUGCUUGGGAAGCUGCUCGUCCCCAGCCAUUGCUUCAGUUGCCCAGAACAAAGCCUUGAUGGGACAAAUGCAAAUGUUUUCCAGCACAAGACCUGUAGAAGACUGAUUUUUUUAAUGAGCUAGAGCAGUUUAGAGAGGAAGUAACAAGUUCCGGCCAUUUAGUGUUUGAGCAGAACAAAUCCAGUAAAUAUUUCUGAGUAUCUCAUGUUAAAUAGCUGCUAUUUGAAUUUCUCCAAGAUUUCCUAAACCAGGCUCCUUAAUGAGCUAAUCACCUUUGAUUUGGUGGCUUGUUCUAAGGCUGAGGAAGUUUGGGCUGUUCAGUGAACUGGGUGACAGGACAAGGGGAAUGGGUACAAAUCAAAAGAGGAGGAAUUUAGGUUAGAGAUGAAGAAGAAAUGUGAUGGGUGGUGAGGAUCUGGUUGCCCAGGAAGUUUUCAAAGGCAGGUUGGGCAGCCUGGCCCAGCGGGAGGUGUCCCUGCCCAUGGCAGGGAGUUGGGACUGGAUGAUUUUUAAGGUCCAUUCCAACACCUUAACAUUCUGUUACCCUCAGUGGAAAGCAGAUACAGAACAGUUCCUAAAUACAAAUGUGCUGGUCAGUUCUGCAAAUCCUCAGUGCUCUGUGGUGUGUGUCAGGUAGGAAAUACUUCGUCUUUGUGCUGGAGACAGCUGUCACUGACCAAGUGCUCUGUGUGUGAAACAGAACCGAGGCUUAGGCUCGACUUUAAAUCUAAAUGCUGGUGGCUGAAACCUCCCAGGGAUAAAGUGGCUCGGUUUUGUUAGGAAUGGACUAACAAGUGCAGUGUGCAGCUGCCUUUGGUUUCCUCUCCUCUAGGCCAGCUCCAGGUCGCUGUGUGCAGGUUCCUGCAGGUUCUGUUCCAGGAGCGGGGACACCAGCAGGUGUCCCCAGGGCAUUCUAAGGGACACUUUUCACAGGGCUCUGCUGCGCUCUGCCAGGUUUCCUGCGUGUUUCAGGUCAGUUCCCCGGGACAAGGCAAAUUGUCCGGUCUGGGAAGGAGCUGCCGGGGGUGGGAGAGGAGCGGAGGGACCGUUCCCUGUCCCCCAGAGCCUGUUCUGUCCCUUCCCGUGGGCUCCGAGCAGCGGCCAGGGCACCCCGAGCAUUCAAACACCGCUUUUCCCCAUUUCUCUGUACAACAUGUAAAGAUACCGACUCCUGUAUUGCUGUUUCGUGAUUUAAUUUGAUUUGAUUGGCAGCUACGAUUAUUUUUUUCUGUGGUUUUAAUUUAUCUAAGGUCUCUGCCUCCAGAGGACGUGUACAAUUGCCUGGACGACUGUUUGCUUUGUGCGGCCUUAGUGUAUUUAUUGACAUUCGCGCGUGUGCGGGGGCGGCCCCGCGCCCCCCCGCGCUGUCGGUAGCUGACUGUACACCAGUGUCAAACCGUUAAGCUAUUUCUUUGUAAAAUAGUCCUGCGGAAUGCAUAGAAUUUUUUUCCUGUAAAGUAUUUUUUUAAAUAAACAAAAGUCUGAUUUUGUCCU
rnacentral:lncRNA from 1 species